rnacentral:tRNA from 2 species
GCCAGUGUAGCUCAGUGGUAGAGCAGCUGUUUCGUAAACAGCAGGUCGCGGGUUCGAUCCCCGCCACUGGCU